UUCUCUCUCCUCCCGAUUUUUGCUCCAGCCGCCCGACCUUUCCUCCUUCUCCUUGACGCCACGGCCGCCACACUUGGAACCGAUCUCCGCCGUUGGUACCAAACGAACCACCACUCGACCGCCGACGUUUCUUGACCCUUCGCCGGAGUUUCCGUGGCCGGAGAUCGCCGGAAAACUCCAUUUUCGCCGGAUUUCCAGUUUGAACUUUGAGCUCGAUUUUCUCCUUCAAUUCUCCACCAAAUCGAUCGAGUAAGGUAUGGUUUCUCAGCUCCUUUUCGUGUUCUAGCUAAUGGAUGUAUGGGUUUCGAUCGAUUUGAGCUCUAAAGGGUUCGAUUUUUCGACUUGAAAAUUGGCCGAAACUUCGGCCGCCGUGAUCUACUGUUUUCGAUCACUUUUUGGGGUAUGUCCAAGAACAAAAGUGACUCCAAAUGGGGUGGUUUACCUAAAAUAGGAGUUUGGAGUCUUGGUUCCGAGAUUUUUCGGCCACUCGGUAUCGCUUUAGACACCCGAAUCUGCCCGCGCGUGCUGGGGCGCGUGGGCGAGGGUGGUGGAGUAACUCUGGGCAGUUUUGAGAUCCUCGUGUCAUCACGAGCGCGUAGGAUUUCGCGGAUCUCGAUUCGGAGUCCGUUUGAGCCCCGAACGGAUUUUCCAUAUCGCGCGAUCCUUGGGUGCAGUGUCGUCAAAUCGUCGGAUCGCGCUGAAUUUCGGAUAUGUCGGUCUACAUGAUUUCAGGAUCGUGUAGGAUUCGACGGAUUGCGAAUCGGAGUCCCGGAUACUCCGAAAUCGCAAACCCUGGGGCUAGGGUUUGGAUUUUAAGCGAUAACGCGAUUUUGGCUAAUCCGACCAUCCGUUUCGGACCAAACUCGCAGAACAUGGUUCCUUCUCUGUAAGGAACCUUCAGAGGAGCCCAGAUUGGCCAUUGGAGACCGUGGACCCACGUGGUCCGGGAUCGGCCGAUCUGGCAGUAUAUCGCUUAGUAAGGCUUCAGGUCUCUUAAGGUCGUUCUAGCUGUCUAAAAAGCUAAUGUGGGCAUAAGAGUAACUUUAAAAUGAGUGCACGUAUUUCUAGGAGCCGGGGGCAGGGUGUUUAAUUUGAUUCUUUUUAUUCAGCAGUUUAUUGAUUUAUUAUUCAUGGAUAAUCAGGCACCAGAGGUCCAGUCGACCUGCAGGAAGGACCUUCGAAGGGUCCAAUUAGGUCGGACCAUCAGUGAGUGGACUCUUUGUUUUAAUAAAUGAAGUUAAGCAGUUCAGUUAUAAGCUGUUUUAUGCUGUUAACUAUUUUAUGUUGCAUGCUGCCGAGUGCAAUUUCCUUUAAAGCUUGUAUGAACAGAUAUUCUCGUUAAUUAUCAGAUAAAUGGCAGCAGAAUUUUAAGGUUACAGAAAGUUAAUUCUUCAACAACUUUUCUUCAGAAACUUUAUAUUUUCUUAAAUCACCUUGUACCCAGUUAUUAAAUGUUGCUUUCGGUUUAUAUUUGUUACCUUCGGUUUAGUCAGCAUGCUUGACAGUUGCCCCACGAGUUCCUUGAUACUCGAACUCGUGUGGAGCGAGUAAUGCGGAUAAAGGUGGACUACGGUUCCCUGAAUCCUGCGAGUUGCGGCUCGGACUGACUUCGUGUCACUGAGACCUGCGAGUAUGUGUCACCCAUGGUGAUGCAAGGAAUUGACGGAUAUAAGGAUUUGACGGAAAUAGGGGUACACCUAGGUGAUAGUUUUCAACUGUUUUCAAAUGUAUAGUUAUAUACAUGCAUUGAUUUCAGAAAUAAAGAAAAUAAGUUAGUUUGUAUAACUGUUUUUACAGUGGGGUUAGUAUGUUCAUAUAUUUUCUACGCUUUGUUUUGGGUCCACUCACCCUUCUUGUUGUUUUGCGCCCCCAGGCAGUAGACGUGCACAGGAAUCCACCACCGGGCCACUUCCCAUCUUCCGCGCCUUUCUUUGAUGUAGGAUUUGUAUUUUGUACAAAGAUUCACUCUUUUGUAAAUUCUUAGCAGUCGCUCUGAUGUUUUGCCCUAGACUGAGUUUUAAUCUCUUGGAAUGUAUAUAUACAUAUGCUGGCAG
rnacentral:lncRNA from 1 species